rnacentral:rRNA from 4 species
UUCCAGCUCCAAUAGCGUAUAUUAAAGUUGUUGCGGUUAAAAAGCUCGUAGUCGAAUCUGUGUCCCGCGCCGCCGGUUCAUCGUUCGCGGUGUUAACUGGCGUGCCGCGGGACGUCCUGCCGGUGGGCUUAGCUCGCAAGGGCGGCCCAACUCAAUCCCGCCGCGGUGCUCUUCACUGAGUGUCGAGGUGGGCCGGCACGUUUACUUUGAACAAAUUAGAGUGCUUAAAGCAGGCUAAAACUUCGCCUGAAUACUGUGUGCAUGGAAUAAUGGAAUAGGACCUCGGUUCUAUUUUGUUGGUUUUCGGAACCCCGAGGUAAUGAUUAAUAGGAACGGAUGG